AUGGGGAACUGCCUGGUGAUCCAGGACAGAAGGGAGAUCAAGGUGAUGAGCGUGGUCGACGGCGAAGUCCUCAAGCCGCUCCCGGCGCCACCCCUCUCCAAGGGCGCCCUCGCACGCGUCUCCGGCUCCUCCGACGCCGACGACGCGCUCCGGCCGCAGAAGCAAGGCCUCGACGGCCGGGCGGGCGGCAUGGGGCAGCUGCACCGCCUGUUCCCCUCCGACGCCAAGGCGCCUCCUGCCGCCGCGGCUGACCCGGAGGGCGCCGUCGUGAGGGUGAAGCUGGUCAUCAGCAAGCAGGAGCUGAGGAGGAUGCUGGGCAAGGACGACGAGGCCGUCUCCAUGGACGACAUGGUGGCUCUCCUGCGAGGAGGGCCGGAGGACCGGAAGCAGGAGGACGUCGGUUGCUACAGAGGGUGGCGGCCUGCCUUGCAUAGCAUACCUGAAGGCAGCGGUGAUCUAUAUUCCAUAUUAGCAUAA
rnacentral:rRNA from 1 species